CCAGCGGCAGUGACCCCAUCGGCGGCUCUACACCGCCCGCCAUGCUGCCGACUCCAGUGGCUACCCCACCCCCGGCGACCCCAACACCACCCCUUCCAUCGCAACACCCGCAGUCAACGGCAGUCCCUGCACAUGCCACAGCCCCGGUCAAUGGCGGCCUGCCAACCCGACAGCAGCAGCAGUGGCGGCGGUGGAAAGUCGGGAAGUCCACCGCUGCUCCGGUGAUAGUGCUGACAGCGCUAAGUCUAACAUGCCCGACGGCAGCAGCGGUGGCAGAGGCAACAGUGCGGUGCACACUGCCAACGACAUGCUGGUGACGGCGGACAACCUGCAACCUGCCCAGUUUAAAUGGGGGGGACUAACGGCUCACCUCGACUGUAAUCACA
rnacentral:lncRNA from 1 species